UUAAAAAACCAAAAGAUAUUGAAAAAAGUAAUUUCUUUUAAGGAGAAGGAACAGCAAAUGAUGUCACGAAUAAGAGAAGUGGAACAAGAACAAAUAAUUGCAGAAAUGAGACAAAAAAUAUCUGCAUUAGAAAUAAAGAAUCAAGAAAUCAUGACUGCUAGACAGCUACGAGGAGGUGUAGAGAAUGACGAAGUAAAAGAAUUACAAGAUCGCAUUGUCGAACUUCAGGGAGAG